rnacentral:rRNA from 1 species
UACGUAGGGGGCAAGCGUUGUCCGGAAUCAUUGGGCGUAAAGAGCGUGUAGGCGGCUUGGUAAGUCCGCUGUGAAAGUCGGGGGCUCAACCCUCGAAAGCCGGUGGAUACUGUCGGGCUAGAGUGCGGAAGAGGCGAGUGGAAUUCCUGGUGUAGCGGUGAAAUGCGCAGAUAUCAGGAGGAACACCAAUUGCGGAGGCAGCUCGCUGGGACGUUACUGACGCUGAGGAGCGAAAGCGUGGGGAGCGAACAGG